GUCACACUUGCAUUGUGCCAUGCAGCCAAUAUAUAAAGCCUUACGCAAACAGGUAGAAGCACAAUAGCUCAGGGUGUUGCGAGGCUAAUCAUCAGGCAGUAAAAGGAUAACCACUGAUUUUCAUCACUGCUGGAGCUGACCUGACUACAAUGGAUACUGGACAAAUCCUAUCAAUACUGCUGAUACUAUCAGUGGCUAUGGACUUUGUUCCUACUUCAACUUCUGCAGAAACGAUUACAACUGUAGAUCCAACUAGUGUUUGGUCAACAACAGAUCCACAAUCAACAACAAUGGGAGAGUUAACAACUGCAGAAUCAUCAGCCACUCCUGAAUCAACAACAAUGGAAGAAACAACAAAUACAGGGUCAACAGAAGCUCCUGAAUCAACAACUGUAGGGUCAACAGCACCUCCACAAUCGACAACAAUGGGAGAGUCAACAACUGCAGAAUCAACAGCAGCUCCACAAUCAACAACAAUGGGAGAGUCAACAACUACAGAAUCAACAGCUGCUCCUGAAUCAACAACAAUGAGAGAGUCAACAACUACAGAAUCAACAGCUGCUCCACAAUCAACAACA
rnacentral:lncRNA from 1 species